GCAGUCGCGGCCGAGUAGUUAAGGCGGUGGUUAAGAAAUCCAUUGGGGUCUCCUCGCAACAGGUUCGAAUCCUGCCGAGUGCG
rnacentral:tRNA from 1 species